rnacentral:rRNA from 1 species
UACAGAGGGUGCGAGCGUUAAUCGGAAUUACUGGGCGUAAAGCGCACGUAGUCGGCUUUGCAAGUCGGGUGUGAAAUCCCCGGGCUCAACCUGGGAACUGCAUCCGAGACUGCAUUGCUGAGAGUAUGGGAGAGGGAAGCGGAAUUUCUGGUGUAGCAGUGAAAUGCGUAGAUAUCAGAAGGAACAUCAGUGGCGAAGGCGGCUUCCUGGACCAAUACUGACGAUCAGGUGCGAAAGCGUGGGGAGCAAACAGG